AAAGCAAGUGUAAGUGCUGUGGGUUAAGUGGAGCUAUGUUCCACAGUGUAACUGGUCAGUUGUGGUACUUCAUAAAUGAGAUUUUCCUACUAGAGUGAAGUCUGCUGGAAAAUGCACAGACUACACAUUGAUAUUGUUGUUUGCAUUGAUGUGUGAAUUUCAAAUCAAGAGCUGUAGCCAGCCAGCCCCACAGAGCUCAUGAAGUUUACUGCUAUUUGCCUUGUAGGUUCACUCCUCCAAAGCUAGCAGCCUGAAUGCACCAAUUAAGCUUGCCAUGAAAAGCAAGCCUCAGAUAAAGGAAUUAACAGAGGCACGAGUGAUCAAGUACUGCUAAAGUGAAAUGUGAUUCAGGCUGAGAGAGAAAGAAAGAGACCAUGCGCCAGUGUGUGCCCAUACAGAUGCAACUGAGUCGGUGGGUCACAAGUCCGAAGCUAGGCUGGCAUGUUAAGAAUGGUAAUGAGGGAAGAAGCCCAGCUCCGUAAGUGACAGAGCAAGGAACAGCCCCAAAUCUCCUGGCUCCACUCCAGUGCCCUAUCCCUUGAACCACACUGCCUGCCGAGUUUUUAUUGUUACCAUAGGAUCUUUCCCUCUUCCA